GAUGAAGAACGCAGCGAAAUGCGAUACGUAGUGUGAAUUGCAGAAUUCAGUGAAUCAUCGAAUCUUUGAACGCACAUUGCGCCCGCCAGUAUUCUGGCGGGCAUGCCUGUCCGAGCGUCAUUUCAACCAUCAAGCCCCGGGCUUGUGUUGGGGACCUGCGUCCGACGCAGGCCCUGAAAACCAGUGGCGGGCUCGCUGUCCACACCGAGCGUAGUAACUAACCUCGCUAUGGAGUGGCGCGGGCGCCUGCCGUAAAACCCCCAAUUUUUACAAGGUUGACCUCGGAUCAGGUAGGAAUACCCGCUGAACUUAAGCAUAUCAAUAAGCGGAGGA
rnacentral:misc_RNA from 1 species